GAUGAAGAACGCAGCAAAAUGCGAUAAGUAAUGUGAAUUGCAGAAUUCAGUGAAUCAUCGAAUCUUUGAACGCACAUUGCGCCCGCCAGUAUUCUGGCGGGCAUGCCUGUUCGAGCGUCAUUUCAACCCUCAAGCACAGCUUGGUGUUGGGACUCGCGUUAAUUCGCGUUCCCCAAAUUGAUUGGCGGUCACGUCGAGCCUCCAUAGCGUAGUAGUAAAACCCUCGUUACUGGUAAUCGUCGCGGCCACGCCGUUAAACCCCAACUUCUGAAUGUUGACCUCGGAUCAGGUAGGAAUACCCGCUGAACUUAAGCAUAUCAAUAAGCGGAGGA
rnacentral:misc_RNA from 1 species